rnacentral:RNase_P_RNA from 1 species
GCAAAUGGUCGGACGAUCGCGGAUAGUAUCGCAAUGAUACUUAUUCGAGGAAAGUCCGGGCUCCAGUGGACAGGCUGCCAGGUAACUCCUGGGCACAGGUGGCGAGAGUCGCCCGUGACGGACAGUGCCACAGAGAACAGACCGCCAUCUUUCGGGACGGCAAGGGUGAAACGGUGGAGUAAGAGCCCACCGCGCUCAUGGUAACGUGAGCGGCACGGCAAACCCCGGCUGGAGCAAGGCCAAAUAUGCGGCGAGAGGCGUCCACCUCGAUCAAGACACCGCGGGUAGGCUGCUAGAGAGCAUGGGCGACCAUGUUCGAAGAGAAAUGAUCGUCCGGAUUGCGCGAGUAAUCCGACAGAACCCGGCUUACAGACCAUUUGCCAAC